rnacentral:rRNA from 1 species
GACGGAGGAGGCAAGCGUUAUUCGGAAUUAUUGGGCGUAAAGCGUCCGCAGGAGGCGAUUCAAGUCUGCUGUCAAAGGUCGGGGCUUAACCCCGGGAAGGCAGUGGAAACUGAAUAGCUAGAGUGCGGUAGGGGCAGAGGGAAUUCCGGGUGUAGCGGUGAAAUGCGUAGAGAUCGGGAAGAACACCAGUGGCGAAAGCGCUCUGCUGGGCCUGCACUGACACUGAGGGACGAAAGCUAGGGGAGCGAAAGGG